CCUACGGGAGGCAGCAGUAGGGAAUAUUGCUCAAUGGGGGAAACCCUGAAGCAGCAACGCCGCGUGGAGGAUGAAGGUUUUCGGAUUGUUAACUCCUUUUGUUAGAGAAGAUAAUGACGGUAUCUAACGAAUAAGCACCGGCUAACUCCGUGCCAGCAGCCGCGGUAAUACGGAGGGUGCAAGCGUUACUCGGAAUCACUGGGCGUAAAGAGCGCGUAGGCGGGAUAGCAAGUCAGAUGUGAAAUCCUAUGGCUUAACCAUAGAACUGCAUUUGAAACUGUUAUUCUAGAGUAUGGGAGAGGUAGGUGGAAUUCUUGGUGUAGGGGUAAAAUCCGUAGAGAUCAAGAGGAAUACUCAUUGCGAAGGCGACCUGCUAGAACAUAACUGACGCUGAUGCGCGAAAGCGUGGGGAGCAAACAGGAUUAGAUACCCUAGUAGUC
rnacentral:rRNA from 1 species